rnacentral:rRNA from 1 species
UACGAAGGGUGCGAGCGUUGUUCGGAAUUAUUGGGCGUAAAGCGCACGUAGGCGGCCUUGUAAGUCUCACUGUGAAAGUCCGGGGCUCAACCCCGGGAUGCCAGGGGAUACUGCGAGGCUUGAGACAAGUAGAGGUUGGUAGAAUUCCGGGUGUAGCGGUGGAAUUCGUAGAGAUCCGGAGGAAUACCAGAGGCGAAGGCGGCCAACUGGGCUUGUUCUGACGCUGAGGUGCGAAAGCGUGGGGAGCGAACAGG